rnacentral:lncRNA from 1 species
AUGCCCGGUGUAGCUCUCACGCCUCGGGCCACGUGUCCAUACUGUGCACGCCUGCCCUUGGCCCCCAGCGCCAUGGUGGGGGAUAUCUACAGCAGCCAGGCUGUGGCCAAGAGCCUGCCCAGGUGGCCCCAUUUCCCCCCCUUGCGUUCCUUCCUGUCGCCCCUCUGUGGCCUCCCCACUUCUCACCCAUCCGUGUGUGUUAGUGGUGGUUUCUCUCCGUGGCACGACUCGGAUGCGGAGUCUGAUGUCACGGGGGCCUCCCCGCACCAGCCCUUUCGACUCAGCCCUCCCAUGGGCUUCGCUGAGCUCGCAGGCGGCUCACGGAGCGGCGGCGAGGGCACUUCACUGGCUGUCGGUGAUGUCCACAGAGGCUCCGCAGAUGUGUGCACGCCCGCUCUCAGAGCGCUCCUCGGUGUGGCGCACUCUGCUCUCCGUGAACGGUUGGAUGAGCAGAGUGAUAAGAGACGGCUACACACUGCAGUUUGCCAGCCCACCCCCUCCAUUCGACGGGGUGCUGGAGACUGUGAUGUCGUCUCAGGCCGGGGCAGAGGCUCUGAUGACAGAGUUGUCGGAGCUCUUGGAGAAAGAAGCCAUCUCCAGAGUUCCGCCAGGCCAGGAGUGCGAGGGUUAUUACUCCCGGUACUUCCUGGUUCCGAAGAAGACAGGCGGAAUGAGACCCAUUCUCGACCUGUCUCUCGUCAACAGAUCGAUUAUGAGGAGGCCGUUCCACAUGCUCACCAUAAAGCAUGUCUUGGAAUGUGUGCGCUCCGGCGACUGGUUCGCAUCCAUCGAUUUGAAAGACGCGUAUUUCCAUGUCCCAAUCGUCCCCAGGCACAGGAAAUUCCUGCGAUUCUCGUUCAGAGGAGUCCAGUUCCAAUACAACCGUCUCCCCUUCCGUUAUUCUCUGGCUCCACGCACGUUCUCCAAGUGCGUGGAGACGGCACUGGAACCGUUACGCAGGCGCGGGAUCAGGGUCAUGUUUUACCUGGACGACCUGCUGGUUCUGGCCUCCUCCGAACACAGCGCGGCUCUCCACACGGUGGAGCUCGCGAGUCACCUGACGCUGCUGGGCUUUGCCAUAAAUUGGCGAAAGAGCUCGCCAGUGCCCACUCAGUGCAUCAUGUAUCUGGACUCGUCCAGCAUGAGAGCGAGUCUCUCCCCCGCGAGGCGGGAGGCGUUGUCCACGGUGCUGAAGGUGCUGCAACACUUCGCUCCCCUGCUGAGAGACCAGCAUGUGUUAGUGAGGACAGACAACAAGACGGCAGCCGCCUACAUCAACCGGCAGGGCGGCGUCCGCUCGGCCCGGCUGUUGGAGACAGCCAGGAGCCUCCUGCUGACUUGAUGUCGCGGGGGGGUCCACGCCAGAGCGAGUGGAAGCUGAAUCCAACUCUCGUUCAGACACUGUGGGCCCGGUUCGGAGAAGCAGAGGUGGAUCUGUUCGCGUCACACGAAAACGCGCAGUGCGCACUGUGGUUUUCCAUGAGCGCGCAGGAGGAACCUCCACUGGGAGUGGACGCGUUCUCUCAUCACCCGUGGCCCAGAGCCCUUCUCUAUGCUUUCCCCCCCAUUCCCCUGAUACCUCGCCUCUUGGCUCGUGUCCAGGAGGAACAGCUCUGGGUGAUUCUGGUUGCUCCAGAGCGCACGAGUGCGUCCUGGUUCCCCACGAUGAUCCAACUGUUGGCUCGCGACCCCUGGCAGCUCCCCUGGCGCAGGGACGCGCUGUCACAGGUCGACCAUUCGAUUCAACAGUUCCCGGUGCUUGGUCAGCGCCUGUGGGCUUGGCCUCUGAGCGGGUGA